rnacentral:rRNA from 1 species
UACGAAGGGGGCUAGCGUUGCUCGGAAUCACUGGGCGUAAAGCGCACGCAGGCGGAUCGUUAAGUCAGGGGUGAAAUCCCGAGGCUCAACCUCGGAACUGCCUUUGAUACUGGCGAUCUUUGAGUCCGGGAGAGGUGAGUGGAACUCCGAGUGUAGAGGUGAAAUUCGUAGAUAUUCGGAAGAACACCAGUGGCGAAGGCGGCUCACUGGCCCGGUACUGACGCUCAUGUGCGAAAGCGGGGGGAGCAAACAGG